rnacentral:rRNA from 1 species
GAUGAACGCUGGCGGCGUGCUUAACACAUGCAAGUCGAACGAGAAGUGAAGACGGAAACCUUCGGGCGGAAGGCUUUAUUUCGAGUGGCGGACGGGGGAGUAACGCGUGGGUAACCUGCCUCAUACAGGGGGAUAACAGUUGGAAACGACUGUUAAUACUGCAUAAGACCACAGCACCGCAUGGUGCGGGGGUAAAAACUCCGGUGGUAUGAGAUGGACCCGCGUUCGAUUAGCCAGUUGGCGGGGUAACGGCCCACCAAAGCGACGAUCGAUAGCCGAUCUGAGAGGAUGACCGGACACAUUGGGACUGAGACACGGCCCAAACUCCUACGGGAGGCAGCAGUGGGGAAUAUUGCACAAUGGGGGAAACCCUGAUGCAGCGCCGCCGCGUGAGUGAAGAAGUAUUUCGGUAUGUAAAGCUCUAUCAGCAGGGAAGAAAAUGACGGUACCUGAGUAAGAAGCCCCGGCUAACUACGUG